GCCGCCCUGACCAAUCUCCCCCAAAUCGACCUGCCCAAAACAAAAUUCCCCACCUGCACCACCACCUCACCGGUCUGGCUUCCUCCCCAACCGGCGUAGUAUGGGCUUCCUGGGGUGGAGCCGGUGGACAUCCCCACGGCGGAGCCGGCGUCGGGUCCCCAUAGCCUGGGAAACGAACGAGCUGCUGGCUGCGCCAUUGGUCUUGGCGCAUAGUUUCUUCUCGCGGACUGCUGCUUGCCUUCUCCUCAAGCUCAUCCCCAGGUCCGACACCCCUCGACGCUGGCUGUCCCGGAGCUUCCCUCGUCGGCCCAGCAUAGGAUCUACGGGGGAGAGCUGCUCCUCGAGGUCAUCCGGCAGGAUUGCUGCCCCUCGAGGUCAUCCGGCAGGAGAGCUUCCCCUCGAGGUCAUCCGGCAGGAUUGCUGCCAAGCCUCACGACGGACAUGUCGGGCUGGUGGUCCAAUGUGAGGAUGAUGAUUCGGCACAGGACAUGGACGAAGUUAUAAUUUGAAGCGUGUUUUAAUUAACACAGCCUUUGCUCAUACAGACAAAGGAGAAGUGUGGUGCACAGGUAGGGAUAUCGAAUGGUGAAACUAUAUACUUAAAAGCAUGGUAGCUUUCCAGCCAACAACAAUUGUUGGGGUAUGGCAAAUACUGGAUCACGGCAUUGUAGAAAAGCUAUAUGCUUUAAGUAAUUGUCCCUGUAUCAUAUCAGUUGAGAAAACUUGUAUUUCCCUUUGAAAGAUGUUCAAGUAACUAAAGUAUUGUCCCUGGAACAUAUAUUUCAACAAGUUCUACUAUUCCGAUCGUGAGUGGCAGUGCAGGGAGAUCAGAGGCAGAUGGUGGCAGUGCAGGGAGAUCAGAGGCAGAUGGUGGGCGGCGGCGGCGGCGGUGGCUAAUCUAACCCACGUUGAAACUAAUCACGAUGAGAGAAGGUAGUUCAGUUGUUUCAGAGAUCAGAGGCAGAUGGACGGCGGCUAAUCUGACCCACGUUGAAACUAAUCAUGAUGAUAGAAGGUAGUUUAGCUGUUUCAGGAGACAAGAUUGAUCUAGAUCUGAACGCUAGUGGGCUUUUAGUAUGGGCUUUUUAAUUAUAUUCUUUUCAUGUAUAUGUAAAUGAUGGAUAUGGGUCCAAGUAUCAACGUGAAAGGUUGUGUACAGCGGUUGCAGGAAUCAGUCAAUAUUUGGUGUCGUGAACAAAAAAAGAAAGAUGAAUUGUUCAUACCAUGCAAAAAAAAACAGAUGAAUUGUUCAUUUUUUUUUAUUUGAUGCAAAAAUAUAUAUAUCUUUAUUUUGACUUGUACAUGUGAAUCGGUUGGAUAUAUUGGGAAUGAAUAAAGUUUGUGAAUACGAAGCUA